UAUAUGUUGUUGCACAGCACCAGCCUUCAUUAUUUUGUUCAUAGCAAUGACGCUUGUUCAUAACUGACCCUUUUUAAUGGCAAGCCGCUCACCAUGAUUUUCCUGAGUAUGGUAUGAAAUGAUCCAACGGUAUGAAACUCGUCCAGAUGCUCCAGGGCAGCAAUAUUGAGAAGCCCUACCCAGAGACACUGUAGCUCUCCCCAAACAUAGCUGAAGAGCCAUGUGGUAUCCAGAUUCCACUAAGACCAU
rnacentral:lncRNA from 1 species